rnacentral:rRNA from 1 species
GACGAAGGGGGCUAGCGUUGUUCGGAAUUACUGGGCGUAAAGCGCGUGUAGGCGGUUGUCCAAGUCGGGUGUGAAAGCCUUGAGCUCAACUCAAGAAAUGCACUCGGUACUGGGUGACUAGAGGACCGGAGAGGAUAGUGGAAUUCCCAGUGUAGUGGUGAAAUACGUAGAGAUUGGGAAGAACACCAGUGGCGAAGGCGGCUAUCUGGACGGUUUCUGACGCUAAGACGCGAAAGCGUGGGGAGCAAACAG